UGAAAGCAGGUACUCUGCAGGCGCAGCGUCCGCAGUGGGGGCUGAGGCAGGGCCCCCGCUCGUCACAGCCUCUCGCUGUGGGAAAGGCCCUGCUGGCCACGGAAAUGCAGCAGGAGCGGCCCCAGGGGCUCUGCAAGCCCCGGGCCAGGCAGCUCUUGAAGGGCUGGCCCCAGCUGAGAGGAAAGCAGACGCUUCGAGGAGAGGCUGUUGCCGCAGCGCCCCAAAGAUGGUGGGGCAGGUGGGACGUGCCAGGCUGUCUCCUUCUGGCCCUGCCUUCCUGCUGCUGCUGCUGGGUGCCUGUGCGACCGCCCAGGACAUCUGCAGCUCCCCAGGUGACCUCCCACCUCCCGAUCUCUUCUUGAACACCUCCAACGCUCAGGAGGGAGAAC